ACUGAAGAGUAAGUGAACAGGCCUACUAAACAAAUAUUCAAAUUAAAACACAACUAGAUUAAAAAUCCUUACAUCUGUGAACCUCUAUAUGCAAAUGAUUCAGUAGGGAGGAUCAGAGUCACUCAGACACUCACAGGACUGUGUUAUAAACUGAAUCCUCAGUCAGUGUUUAUGUUCUGCUGCAGUGUAGAUAAAUAUCUUCUUAUUCUCUUCAUUUGACAGUUUUAUGGUGAUAAUGGAAAUGUUACUUUAUGGAGUUCUCCUGAUGAUUAUUUCAUCUGUUAGUGGUCAGUCUUUGACCUCCUCAGAUUCUGUGGUGAAAAGACCAGGAGAAUCAGUCACUCUGUCCUGCAGUGCGUCUGGAUUCUCAAUGAGCAGCUACUGGAUGGCUUGGAUCCGUCACAAACCAGGGAGAGGACUGGAGUGGAUUGGGAGUAUAGCUGGCUCAAGUGUAUAUUAUGCUCAGUCUCUACAGGGACAGUUUUCCAUCACCACAGACACCAGCAAAAACAUGCUGUAUUUAGAGGUGAAAAGCCUGAAGACUGAAGACACAGCUGUUUAUUACUGUGCAAGAGAGUCACAGUUACACAAAAGACUGCAGGGCUGAACAAAAACUAUUCAUGCACGAGAUCACUGAAGCAAUUACUGCAAAUUUCCCCACAAUUCAACACAUUACUUGUUUAGAAAACAUUUUAAUACUUCUGUAUAAACAACGUCCCAAAUGAAAGUAUGAAUUUCUGGGCUGGUAAUAAGGAAGGUCAAAAAGAUAAUAGAUUCAAAGUUUGGAGGAAUGAUCAUUGAGUGAGA